UGUGCUGAGGUCACAGAAACAAGAAAAGAAGCUUCAGACUUCAGAGUGUUGUUUACAGUUUUCUGUCAUCAUGAUCUCCCCUGAAGUUUAUCACUGUGAGCCAAGCAAGCAGAGCGGCAGUUUGUGCUCACAGAUGGAGACGGUGCGGAGAGACGGUGGUGUUUCCUCAGAAGAACUAGCAGAGUCACCAAGGGCACCAGUCCAUCUCACCACCUUGACUUGCUGACUGAUGCUCGUCUGCACUGCACAGAGGAAAUCAACUGACCGAGGAGUGUUUCUGGGUGAGGGAGAGAGGAGUCAUCAUCCAGGUAAAGUGACGUGGAUCAGUGGACACACUUGUCUCCCCUUUAAAGGAGAUACUCUUAGAGAGAGACGAUCCGAGUCAUCCCUAAAUAUGGGCAGGAUAUCACUAUUGGACUGUCUAACCUGCCGGAGCAGCACUGAAUGACCACCACACAUGAGCAUGUUCCUGCAACAUUCAGCAGCUUUGCUUUUGUGUCAAAUGUCAACCACCUGGAGAGGAAACUACACCAGUACUGGGAUGUUUCACCAACACGUGCCAGAUGCUGUUCCUUCAUGGUGACAUCACCAGAGACAGCCCCGCCCACCUCAGGACCUCGCCAUUGAUCAUGAUGAUUAUAAUGAUGACAGCGAGCGGAACUAAGACUGUAAAAAUCCACGACCAGAAUGUUUAGAUGCUUUCUAAUUAUUCAUGAAUACUGAGAGCCUCUUUCUGUGUUUUGUCUGUUUUGGGUUGUUUUUUUUUUUACCUCAUUUGUUACUAAGAAAGUUCACCAAACUCACACAGUUUACAUUCUGUAUGUUUCCAUCUUUACCAGCCACACUCUACCUGCAUUUAGAAAACAAACCUUAGAAAUCGUCGUUUUUCUCUUUUGUAAUUUUGUAAUUCAGUGAAUAUACUGUGCUGCUUCCUUUUAUUGCAUCACACAUUGCUUUAAGUUUUUCAGUGUCCAGUUAUUUUUUACUGCUGUUUGAAUUCUCUGUAUGUUUGACCCUGUAGACUGUUUGAUGGACUGCUUGUCUUCCUGUUUGUAACCGACGCCUGUUUUUGACUAAAGAUUUGGAUUUCUGACUUUAACACAGCCUCUGCGUGUCCUCCCUUUGUGUCCUCUUCCUCUGUGAAUGUGUUGCAUGUGUCACAGAUUCAUUUUAUUAACAGCUUUCCCACAGUGAGUU